UUAGAACAUGAUUUCGCCUUCAAUGUUUCAUUAUAACUAUGGUGGGAUUCAGGCUAAAACGCAAAAUGUAACAUCUGAGGGCGAAUCAGAUGGUGAUAAUGAUAUCGUCAUUGUGUCAAGCUGAAACAUAGCAGAAUACCUGCCCAAAGCUACAUAGGAUCACUUUGUCUUGAUCGUAUCGGAGUUCAUAUAUAUUCCAUGGAAAUACAC